rnacentral:lncRNA from 1 species
UUUCAAUUACCACCUUGUAUAAAUAUCUGUAACUGUAUACGGAUACUUACUGGUGCUUGGUAGAGCUUCAGAGCGAAUCUGGCCAAUUUGUAGUGAUCACAAAACCGUGGAUUAAAACAACCGUUGAAUUUUUUGUAAUCCCUGGACACAAUAGUGUGAAAUAGACAACUUUAGGGUUUUGAGAUCUAUGAAGUAUGUGAAUAGUGGAGGUUUAAGACCGAAGAUUUGGGGUUUAUGAAUUACUAUUUGUAAACCGCGAUGGAGGGAUGAAACUGAGGAG